CUUUGUCCAUAACAAAUCCCAGAGAUUUUUACUGAGCUACUGUUUAUUAGAAGCUGCAAAAAGACAUAUUUCCUUCAGCUGAAGAAUCGCAUUUUAACCUCCGAGGAGAUUACUGUGUGUGUGCUGGGAGCUAUUGCAGCCUUGUAGAGUGCUGUGCUGGAAUUUCAUUUUGACCUUGCUGUUGACCAGCAGUACUCAUCACAGAUGGGCUUGAAACAUAAAAUAAAAAGGAAUGCACAUUUAUUUUGGUAUGGUAGUUCAAUUCAAAUAUGAUGCUUUGUUCCAGUAAAAUGGUGUUUGGUGUCAUUUUUAUUUCUGAUUCACAAAUAACCUUAUUGAGCAUUUGUUGGAGAGGUCAAAGAAAUGAACAAAAUUUGUUGUGUGAACAAUAAAAAUGCCUGCAAUAGUUUCAGGUGGAAUAUUUCCAUGAGAGAAAUGCUACUGAUGUAUAGCAUUCCUGACAAAAGUAUUUAUGCCUUGUCCUACAUUAAUGCUUGGGGUAAAUCAGUUCGGAGUGUAUCCCCCUUAUUCAGCCCUAAGAUGAUUCUUCACUUUGAUAUGGUCUAUUGUGCUAGAGAUUACUGAAGUAGCCACUCUUUUACAUGUUGGAAAAUAACCCCAUCCAAAAAAAGGAAAGCAUACUGAAUAGUAGGUGAGUGUCAUUUUGCUUUGAUCCUUCCCAUAAACAAAUCUCAGCAGUUAGGAUGAUGCUCUGUGUUAGAAAACAAAAACUCCACAGUUUCCUAUCAUAUCUAUCCCCUGAAAAAAAUGAAAGACAAAUUAUGGAUAGCAUACAUAUGGACUUUUCCUGCACCUUCCCAGGGGAGCAGCUCUUUGCUUCAAGCUUCUCAUCAAAACAGCCAGAAGAAUGGUAAAGAGAAAAAAAUGGGAAACUCACAGAGACAUAAUUAGAUCACUUUUCUACAUUACACAUGUAUAAAUGCUGGUAUUCUAUGUGUCUAUGUAUGUUCAAAUAUAUAAAUAUGUUUCUGAGUCUGUAUGUGUGCACACAUGUGUGCAUCUAUAUACAUUUCCUCAAGGGAUGAUUUCCACACACGUAGAUACUGUUCUAAAAUGCAUUUUGCUUAUUGAUUUUCAGUCAGUCUUCAUCUAAUUAAAGGAGGCAUGACUCUCGAUCUGAAUGUAUUUCAGCACUCUAUUCCUAUUCACAUAAAUCUUCAAUUUUAAGCAUAAUUUGUGCUCCUGUUGAAACCCAUGGGUUUUGAUCCCAUAAUAAAUGUCAUCCAUAAGCUUAAAUAUGUUUC